rnacentral:lncRNA from 1 species
UAUAAACGUAAAUUUAUAUUCUUUGUAAGUUUGAUUGGACCCCACUAACUCAAAAUAUCUGCAUCCCCCACUGAUCAAUAGGACUCCCAAUUUGCUUCCAAUAAUCAUGCAAGAGAGGAUUCCCUCAUCAAGGACAACACUACCAGGACUCUGAUUUCCAUUAAUAAAAGAAACAAUACAACCCUCAACUGUGGACACAAUACAAGGCUGCGAUCAACCAAAAGAGCAAAUGACUGUGUUGUUAACUUCUUACUGAAUUAAAAAGGAUUGUAGGUGUCCAUGAGACAAAAACAAAAUAGCUAGAGAUUGUUAUGCUGCAUUAAAACGGGUUGUAAGACCGGGCUGGGCCAACUUUCCCAAUUGAGCUUCUGGGUUGAGGAUGCAAUAUUCUAAACGUCAAGUUUGGAGUUCGAUGUAACGGAGACACAGAGAUCUAACACGUCUUGCUCGAUCUGUGGGUUUGUUGGACUGAACUAGACCACCUAGGCUUCUUGGGUUGAUGCAAUAAUCUCAUCAAUCUCGACCUCGUCUCCUCAGUCGUUCAACCAAUCGCUUCAAAGCCAUCAUCUAGGCAGGUUCAUCAAUGUUAAACCGGAUUUAUCUAAAUUAAGACAGUAACACACAAAUAUGUGCGAGGAAUUGAUUUACCAUUUUUGAGGAGACAAGUUGAAUAGCUCGAGAGGCCCCUUGCUGGAUGCAUUGGCAGUUUGAUCAAUAUUUU